rnacentral:rRNA from 1 species
GGUUAAGCGACCAAGCGUACACGGUGGAUGCCCUGGCAGUCAGAGGCGAUGAAGGACGUGCUAAUCUGCGAUAAGCGCCGGUAAGGUGAUAUGAACCGUUAUAACCGGCGAUUUCCGAAUGGGGAAACCCAGUGUGACUCGUCACACUAUCAUUAACUGAAUCCAUAGGUUAAUGAGGCGAACCGGGGGAACUGAAACAUCUAAGUACCCCGAGGAAAAGAAAUCAACCGAGAUUCCCCCAGUAGCGGCGAGCGAACGGGGAGGAGCCCAGAGCCUGAAUCAGCAUGUGUGUUAGUGGAAGCGUCUGGAAAGGCGCGCGAUACAGGGUGACAGCCCCGUACACAAAAGCGCACAUGCUGUGAGCUCGAUGAGUAGGGCGGGACACGUGGUAUCCUGUCUGAAUAUGGGGGGACCAUCCUCCAAGGCUAAAUACUCCUGACUGACCGAUAGUGAACCAGUACCGUGAGGGAAAGGCGAAAAGAACCCCUGCGAGGGGAGUGAAACAGAACCUGAAACCGUGUACGUACAAGCAGUGGGAGCCCCACCACCAAAGCAUUUGUUGUAACGUGUUGACGGAGCGAAGCGACGUCAAACCGAUAAAACAGCAGUGUUAAGUUAGCCGCAGGGCGUUUUGCGCGACAGCGCAAAAGCAGGCGGUUUCGCGAAGCGAAAGCGAAUGCUUUGGGGUGGGGUGACUGCGUACCUUUUGUAUAAUGGGUCAGCGACUUAUAUUCUGUAGCAAGGUUAACCGCAUAGGGGAGCCGAAGGGAAACCGAGUCUUAAUUGGGCGUUAAGUUGCAGGGUAUAGACCCGAAACCCGGUGAUCUAGCCAUGGGCAGGUUGAAGGUUGGGUAACACUAACUGGAGGACCGAACCGACUAAUGUUGAAAAAUUAGCGGAUGACCUGUGGCUGGGGGUGAAAGGCCAAUCAAACCGGGAGAUAGCUGGUUCUCCCCGAAAGCUAUUUAGGUAGCGCCUCGUGAACUCAUCUCCGGGGGUAGAGCACUGUUUCGGCUAGGGGGCCAUCCCGGCUUACCAACCCGAUGCAAACUGCGAAUACCGGAGAAUGUUAUCACGGGAGACACACGGCGGGUGCUAACGUCCGUCGUGAAGAGGGAAACAACCCAGACCGCCAGCUAAGGUCCCAAAGUCAUGGUUAAGUGGGAAACGAUGUGGGAAGGCCCAGACAGCCAGGAUGUUGGCUUAGAAGCAGCCAUCAUUUAAAGAAAGCGUAAUAGCUCACUGGUCGAGUCGGCCUGCGCGGAAGAUGUAACGGGGCUAAACCAUGCACCGAAGCUGCGGCAGCGAACGUAUCACUUAAAACGAUUCAGAAGCUUACGACUGACGGAGCGAAGCGACGUCAAAGCGUAUACAAAGUCGAGUCGGUUUAAGGAUACGUUCGUUGGGUAGGGGAGCGUUCUGUAAGCCGUUGAAGGUGUGUCGUGAGGCAUGCUGGAGGUAUCAGAAGUGCGAAUGCUGACAUAAGUAACGAUAAAGCGGGUGAAAAGCCCGCUCGCCGGAAGACCAAGGGUUCCUGUCCAACGUUAAUCGGGGCAGGGUGAGUCGACCCCUAAGGCGAGGCCGAAAGGCGUAGUCGAUGGGAAACGGGUUAAUAUUCCCGUACUUGGUGUUACUGCGAAGGGGGGACGGAGAAGGCUAUGUUGGCCGGGCGACGGUUGUCCCGGUUUAAGCGUGUAGGCUGACUUUCCAGGCAAAUCCGGAGAGUCAAGGCUGAGGCGUGACGACGAGGCACCACGGUGCUGAAGCAACAAAUGCCCUGCUUCCAGGAAAAGCCUCUAAGCAUCAGGUAACAUCAAAUCGUACCCCAAACCGACACAGGUGGUCAGGUAGAGAAUACCAAGGCGCUUGAGAGAACUCGGGUGAAGGAACUAGGCAAAAUGGUGCCGUAACUUCGGGAGAAGGCACGCUGACACGUAGGUGAAGUGAUUUACUCAUGGAGCUGAAGUCAGUCGAAGAUACCAGCUGGCUGCAACUGUUUAUUAAAAACACAGCACUGUGCAAACACGAAAGUGGACGUAUACGGUGUGACGCCUGCCCGGUGCCGGAAGGUUAAUUGAUGGGGUCAGCGCAAGCGAAGCUCCUGAUCGAAGCCCCGGUAAACGGCGGCCGUAACUAUAACGGUCCUAAGGUAGCGAAAUUCCUUGUCGGGUAAGUUCCGACCUGCACGAAUGGCGUAAUGAUGGCCAGGCUGUCUCCACCCGAGACUCAGUGAAAUUGAACUCGCUGUGAAGAUGCAGUGUACCCGCGGCAAGACGGAAAGACCCCGUGAACCUUUACUAUAGCUUGACACUGAACAUUGAGCCUUGAUGUGUAGGAUAGGUGGGAGGCUUUGAAGCGUGGACGCCAGUCUGCGUGGAGCCGACCUUGAAAUACCACCCUUUAAUGUUUGAUGUUCUAACGUGGACCCGUGAUCCGGGUUGCGGACAGUGUCUGGUGGGUAGUUUGACUGGGGCGGUCUCCUCCUAAAGAGUAACGGAGGAGCACGAAGGUUGGCUAAUCCUGGUCGGACAUCAGGAGGUUAGUGCAAUGGCAUAAGCCAGCUUGACUGCGAGCGUGACGGCGCGAGCAGGUGCGAAAGCAGGUCAUAGUGAUCCGGUGGUUCUGAAUGGAAGGGCCAUCGCUCAACGGAUAAAAGGUACUCCGGGGAUAACAGGCUGAUACCGCCCAAGAGUUCAUAUCGACGGCGGUGUUUGGCACCUCGAUGUCGGCUCAUCACAUCCUGGGGCUGAAGUAGGUCCCAAGGGUAUGGCUGUUCGCCAUUUAAAGUGGUACGCGAGCUGGGUUUAGAACGUCGUGAGACAGUUCGGUCCCUAUCUGCCGUGGGCGCUGGAGAAUUGAGGGGGGCUGCUCCUAGUACGAGAGGACCGGAGUGGACGCAUCACUGGUGUUCGGGUUGUCAUGCCAAUGGCACUGCCCGGUAGCUAAAUGCGGAAGAGAUAAGUGCUGAAAGCAUCUAAGCACGAAACUUGCCCCGAGAUGAGUUCUCCCUGAGACUUAAAGUCUCCUGAAGGAACGUUAAAGACGAUGACGUUGAUAGGCCGGGUGUGUAAGCGCAGCGAUGCGUUGAGCUAACCGGUACUAAUGAACCGUGAGGCUUAACCUU